AAGUGAAAUUUCAGAGAGUACGAUUUGAAAAAUUAUCUGAACGAUCAAAAGUUAUCUGAGAAGCACAAUUGGACAAGAGAGACUUACAGGAUUGACCAUACUCUCAAUUGAGAGCGGAAGCGCAAAUAAGUUGUACCUAAAACACAUUAUUUACUAUUUUGCUGAACGCGAGGCCCUUCAAAUAGAGUGGCGUGCGAAACCAUGGCAGCUCUUACACACCUCGAUCCCCUUCGCUCCUCGCCGACAAAUUUCACAGCUGCCCUGAUGCUGAUGGCUGGCUAGACUGUCAACUGUGACACCGCCACCGCACCUUGUAGCCAGCCUUCUGACCUGCCUGCCUACCCACUGGAUUACUCUGCCAAGCCUGCCCGUACCUGUACCGUCACCUUCUCAAAUUGUCAACCGGUUACCGAACUCCUGCCCGUCCUUCUCGUUGUGAUUCUUGCGUCAGCCCUCUUGUGCUGUACUAAUAAACCAAACAGUUUUUUCCGUGAAUGGAACUUCA